GGGCCCGCACAAGCGGAGGAACAUGUGGUUUAAUUCGAUGAUACGCGAGGAACCUUACCCGGGUUUGAACGCAUUUGGACGAUAGUGGAAACAUUAUUUCUAGCAAUAGCCAUUUGCGAGGUGCUGCAUGGUUGUCGUCAGCUCGUGCCGUGAGGUGUCGGCUUAAGUGCCAUAACGAGCGCAACCCUUACCGGUAGUUACCAUCAGGUUAUGCUGGGGACUCUACCGGGACUGCCGGCGUAAGCCGUGAGGAAGGUGGGGAUGACGUCAAAUCAGCACGGCCCUUACAUCCGGGGCGACACACGUGUUACAAUGGGGGGGACAGAGGGCUGCUACCCGGCGACGGGAUGCCAAUCCCUUAAACCCCCUCUCAGUUCGGAUCGGAGCCUGCAACCCGGCUCCCGUGAAGCUGGAUUCGCUAGUAAUCGCGCAUCAGCCAUGGCG
rnacentral:rRNA from 1 species